UGUGGAUUCAACAUCAAGGAGUCAUUUCAUGGUUUCCUCACAGACCUCACGCUUAACAUUAAGUUGUGCACUUUUAAUGAAAUUGGGGAUUCAUUGAUUUGUGACAAGAUCGUUUUUGGAACCAACAACAAGAAGAUUAAGCAAGCUGUUCAGGUAAUUUGCACUCACGUUGGAUAAUACAGGGAGGCUGGUGAGCUAGCAGAGCAGCAUGAGGCGUCCGACGACGACACACAUGGGGCGGAUGCGAAGUGGAAAGGGACAUCGCACAUCGUUUUCCCGGAAUCUUAACAUUGGAAACAACCGUUCUCCUAGAAAAUCCAACUGAAAAGGGAUGCCAAUCAAGGCUGUGGUGCAUUCCCAGAGGAGAGUGCCAGUGACACUUCGUGGCAGCCUGAAUAAGGAGGUGGCCAGGAGGACAAAGUUUGGGGUCAUUGAACAUGUGGAACAACUGACUCCACCACCUGUGGAAGGGAAACUAAUG
ensembl:lncRNA